UACAGAGGUCUCAAGCGUUGUUCGGAUUCAUUGGGCGUAAAGGGUGCGUAGGCGGCGCGGUAAGUCGGGUGUGAAUCUCGGAGCUUAACUCCGAAACUGCAUUCGAUACUGCCGUGCUUGAGGACUGGAGAGGAGACUGGAAUUUACGGUGUAGCGGUGAAAUGCGUAGAUAUCGUAAGGAAGACCAGUGGCGAAGGCGGGUCUCUGGACAGUUCCUGACGCUGAGGCACGAAGGUCAGGGGAGCAAACGGG
rnacentral:rRNA from 1 species